UGUUUGUUACACUCACACUUGGUGUCAUGAGUUGCGGUAAGUGGUGGUGGAGGCAGACGCUGAGACCCAGGUAGGAUGAAUGAUGAUGAUGAAUUUAAUGAUGAAAAGUAAUCCACAAAAGUCCACACAGCACAAAGAGCGGAUGCAAAAGCUCUCAAAACGUAACAGGUAACUGGACAAA